rnacentral:rRNA from 1 species
UUGAAGAGCUUAAUCAUGACUCAAAUUGAUACCCUGACGGCAGGUCUAGCACAUGCAAGUCAAGCGGCAGACAAGUAAGUAAAAUAUAAAAAUCUAAUCAAAGGCAAAAAAUAGCCACUAAAAACAGUGGCUAAUACCGCAUAAUCUCUAAGGAGCAAAGUAGGGAGCCAUUCUGAUCUCACACCCUUUGGAUGAACCCAUAUAAAAUUAGCUAAUAGGUGAGCUAUUACCUCACCUAAACGAUGAUCUCUAGCUAGUCUAAGAAAAUGAUCAACCACCCUAAAACUGAGACACCGCCCAGACUCCUACGGGAGAAAACAGUAAGAAAUAAAGUACUUUCAAUCGUGAGGAAAGUGUUAAAGUUAAUAACCUUGGCAAUUGACGUUAGCGACAGAAAAAGCACCGGCUAACUCCGUGCCAGCAGCCACGGUAAUACGGAGAGUGCAAGCGUUAAUCAGAAUUACUAGGCGUAAAAAACACGCAGGCAGAAGUAAUUAAGUUAGAUGUAAAAUCCCCGAGCUUAACCUGGGAAUGGCAUUCAAGACUAAUUAGCUAAAGUCUUGUAGAAAAGGUAAAAUUUCAUGUUUAGCAGUAAAAUAAGUAGAGAUGUAGAAAAAUGCCGGUGGCAAAGGCGAGCCCCCUAGACAAAGACUAACGCUCAUGUGCGAAAGAGUAAAAAGAAAACCAGAUUAGAUACCCUGGUAGUCCACACUGUAAACAAUGUCAAUUUGGAGGUUGUAAUCAUGAACUGUGUCCUCCAAAGCUAACGCGUUAAAUCGAUUGCCUGGGGAGUACAGCCAAAAAGUUAAAACUCAAAUAAAUUGACGGAGGCCCGUCACAAGCGGUAGAGCAUAUGGUUAAUUCAAUGUAACGCCAAGAACCUUACCUACUUUUGACAUCCAGCGGAAUCCUUUAGAGAUAAAAGGAGAUAGAAAAGUACCUUCGGAAGCGCUAAGACAGGUUCUGCAUGGCUGUCCUCAGCUCGUGUUGUAAAAUAUUGGGUUAAGUCUCGCAACAAGCGCAACCCUUAUCUUUUGUUGCCAGCGAUUCGAUCCAAAACUCAAAAAAGAUUGCCAGUGGUAAACUAAAAAAAGGUGGAGAUAACGUUAAGUCAUCAUGGCCCUUACGAGUAGGGGCUAUACACGUGCUACAAUGGCGUAUACUAAAGAGAGGCAAGCCAGCAAGAAAAAGUAAAACUCAAAAAGUCCGUCAAAGUCCGGACUUAAAGUCUGCAACUCGACUCCAUGAAGUUGGAAUCGCUAGUAAUCAAGGAUCAGUAUGUCGCGGUGAAUACGUUCCCAGGCCUUGUAAACACAGCCCGCCAUACCAUGGGAGUAGGUUGCAAAAGAAGUAGGUAGCUUAACCUUUUUAGAUGGUGCUUACCACUUUCUGAUUCAUGACUAGGGUAAAGUCGUAACAAGGUAACCGUAAAGCAACCUGCAAUUAAAUCACCUCCUU